ensembl:lncRNA
CGGAGGAGUAUGAGACUCUGUUUUUCUAAAGACCUCCAACUUGAAUUGGAAGGAGGCCAGGGCCUGCCAGCGGGGAGAGCCGAGAGUGAAGGAAAAUAAUUGGACUGUAGGGUGUGGACUCCGAGCUGUUUGAACCUGUGAAGCUGAAACCAAGGUUGGGCCAGGAGAUUGGGUCCUAAUCAACAGCCUCAAAAGAAAACACUGCCACUUGCCCAAGUGGGACAGACCAUACAAAGUGCUACUGUCAACAUCUACCACAGUCAAAAUAGCGGAGAGAGCCACCUGGAUACAUCUAACACAUUGUAAACGAGUAAGCCUUCCUUAGAAAGAGACAGAGGAUAGGAGCUGUCUUCCUCUACAGUUUUCCAAGGCCGGGCCACUGUGACAGAAGUCCAGCUACAAAGGGGAUUCUUUGCGUUAGGCAAUUUUUCGUCUCAAACCUGGUGAAGAAAACAACACUGUCCAGUGGGGUAAAAGAGCCUAGUGGAUACUGGGAGGGCAGGGCGGUCCUAUCUCUGUGAAGUCAUGGGGAGUUACAAGGGAAAAAUUUAAAAAUGUGUGGAACUUUUGAUAAUAACUGUACUGCCCUACAUUUUGGUACUGUUAACAUAUUGAUCACAACAGGCACCGGUCUUGGUCAAAUGUCCGCGAUGGGGCCUAUAAGAUCAUCCGUGGUGGAAAUGGGUGAACCAGACUGCCCACACACUUUCUACAAAAAGACUGUUUACAUUUUCCUGCCCAGUAAUAUUCAACAGCCGAUGUGUUCUGCAGGAUGCCUGAUGGGAAACAGGGCCUUCAAGGACACAGCAAAGAGGCCUUGUUCGAAUGUUAUCUGAAGCCUAGGCGAGCUAAUGACACACACACACAGUCGACAUUCACUAUGUUGGCCUACAAAUGCAAAGUAUACAAAUGUGUGAUGAGAAAUAUGAUGACAUUUUAAAUGAUUAACUUAUAAUGAUAUGGAGUGAUGCUCAGUAAUGAUCUCUGUUCCGAAAAUCCAUGUGAUGAAGCUCAGAGUGGUGAUUUUGAAUUAUCCAUUGAAACGGAUAAAAGGAGGGACUGAUGGAGAUAAUUUCCAAACACUGUUAAUGACUUAAGAAUAUAAUAAUCAAGUGCCUUGUAUUAUUAAUUACCUUA